rnacentral:lncRNA from 1 species
CAAAUAAUAACAAUAGCACAUGAAAAUUUCAAAUACCAACAGGGCAUGCAUCAUAAAUACUAUAGUUGAUGUACGACGGAGUUCAGCUCGGGUACCACGAGUAAAAAGAGUCCCGAAUCAUACAAAAGUAUAACGUAACAUAGUCAGGCCCCAAAGUGACCACACAAAUAGUACAAAACAAUAAUAGUACACAAAUAAUACAACCAUCUCACCCAACAUGUCAUGCUUAGCUUGAUCAUUCAGGUCACGUUGAACUCCACCUCCAGCAUGUCAAGCUUAGCUUGAUCAUUCGAGUCAUAUUAGGCUCCUCCUUCAAUUCAACCAUGCAGUUCAUAUUUUGUAACUAUCUUGUGAAUACAGUAACUGCUUCACCAUAGGACCUUGAGUUGCUUCAUCCCUUAAUAGAAAAACCAUGCUCAGAGGGUGUUUUCUUCUUUUCAGCCAGAAAUGGCGUAAACAUCAAUAUCACUCCGAGUCCUCCAGCAACAUUCAGGAUAAAGAAAACCAUAUGAGUGCCUGCAGUUAAAUGCAACGUGUUAGCUUCGUUAUAAUUAGUUAUAAUUAGUUGACUAUCAUACCUGGGAGGAAAGAUGCAUGCAUCCGUUUUUGUGACCAAGCUAAUCUGCAUUCAACAAGAAACUUUGCAUGAAAUUUUGUACAAAUUACAAAACAUAUACUGUACAUUAAUAAGCAAGUUUAUGCCAGAAUUUGGAACAUUGAAUGAUAAGGUAAGAAUAAGCUAAAGAAAUCAAAGGGCUACUCACACUACACCACCACCAGCUGGACCAAUUGCUUUGAAUAUAGACAUACCAGUCAUGGCAAUACCAUUAGCUGCCCCUCUUUGAUGUUGUUCCUGUUUUCCAAACAAACAUGCCAUUUAUACCACAAUUUCCUUAAAAUAAAAAUCUCAACUUUUGAAAUGAAAUGAAGUUACCACUGCUCUAUUUUGCAGAAGAAAUAAACUAGUGUCUAUGGUCACCUGAAAUACAGAAGUACAAGUAAGCUUGCAAUACAUAUUAUUAACUAUAGACUAUAGUAUAAUACUAUUGGUUAAGAUAAACAAAAAUAUAAACUUACACAUAGAAGAUUCUUCAGAAGCGAAGCAAUAUUAAUCACUAGAAACAGUGUGAUUCCUGACAGCGUUGCUAUGAAGGGGUAACUUUGCAAAAGAGGUAUGGAUAACACCUACAUAAGGUACCGAAAUAACAAGAAACUUUUAGAACAAGAACCAAUGUAGUGAUGAGUUGCAUUAGUUGCUAUCAAUGAAGAAACCUUACCCCGGAGAGGCGAGCGAAUCUUAUAGGUCCGAAAGCUCUUUCCAAUGAUGGGUAUAGGCAAAGCUGGUAAACAAUAAGGGCAAAACCUGAACAUUGAACAUUUUAGAUAGGUCAGUAAUUAAGCAGUAUAUCUUGGGGAAAAAAAUGCAUAAAACAAUGUAAUUCAGAAAUUAAGAAACUAGUUGUUUACAAUCUGAUUUAAAUCGCUCUCUAAUUCUUGGUUUAAGGAUUGAAUUGUAAAAGGAGCGAAGAGAAAAAACGAUAAAGACUUUGAAUUAAGGUUUGAUAUUGUGAUGAUACAAAAGUACUUGUCCAUAAUUCACUAAGUAUGCAUACACAUAUGAAAGAUGUACCUGAUAUUGCGAGAACAUCACCAACAUUAUCAGUUGUAAAGUUCAAACCACCCAACCUUCUAGGACUAACAGCCCAUAAAGAGAAAACCUAUCAAGAAAUAGACUGAUAUUUAAUUAUCGGUUCUGCCACCAGACAUGAAGCACUGACACAGAUACAAACAUCAGACAUGACAGUGACACACUAAUACACGUAGACAUUUGUACUAAUAAUUUAGGUAAAUGAAAGUGAUUGAAUGUAGCCACAAUUGUUAGUAUUGCGUUAUUGUCAGGCACUACGCCCCUAGUUUGUUAGAACAGAAAAAGACGAAACAGCAUCUAUUUAGAUAUGCAUAAACUAAUUUUGUUAAGUAGGUAUGGUACCUCUUGAUAAGCAAUAUCAUGAAGUGAGAAAAUGCAGUACACAAUUAUAGCUGACAUUAAAGGCCAGUUUAGGAAGAGAUUUUCAUCUUUUUGAAUUAUCUUGUGUUUGUCUUUCGUUUUGCUUCCAGUUUCUAAAGCUUCAACAUCAUUAGUGGACUGAUCGCCAAGAGGGUGGUUGUGUAGUGUUUCCUACAAUGAUGCAGACAUUUUAAAGCAUUUAUAGUUAGGUCAUGUUUUUCAACCACCAGAGACUAGUGCAAGUGGUUAGAGUACAAUGUGUUUGACUGUUUUAACCCUGGAGUACCGAGUUAAGUUCGAUUCCUACUCGUAAAAAAAAUAAAAUUUCAGAAUCCAAUCAGAUACAUACCGGAAGCCAGAUGCAGGAAAUUGCAACCACAACAGCAAAAGCUGAUAUUAAAAUGGAAGGCAAAAAAUAUGGAAACCUGCAAGAAGAUUUAUGUUUUGACAAUGACAAACAGCACAUAAAAAAUAAGGUUGGAAAAAAAACUAAACUGUUAAAAUUUACUGAAACUAAAACUAAGGAAAAAUUCACUUACGUAUCCCAAAAGGAAUUCUUUGGAAAUAUAUGUGGAUAUAUCACUGUUGGCUGCAAUAUUAAUUUCACACACAAAGUAUUAGAGAAACAAGUAAAAGGGUGUUACAAAAUAUCACUUUUGGAGGCAAAAACUACAAAUUCUAGCUUCUAGAUACAAAAUCAAUUCUAGUCAAGAAUCCUCAAACAUACAAUUUUAACUCUUCAAAUCACUUUUGACUCUCUGAAAAGUGAAUCCAAACACAGAUACAAACACCGGACACGACAAGGACACUGGACAUGCACUGAGGCAUCUGUCCGCAUCCAAAAUCCAAGGAUAAGUUAAGUACCUGAGCCAAAUAACCUCCCAAUGCUGGUCCAAUUAUUAAGCCCAUCCCCCAUGCUGCACUGAACUGAAAUCAUGUCACAUUAUGAGUUAUUAUUGUUGAAUGAGAGAGACUUCAUGCAUAAGACGAUGAAACGGUGUGUCUUAACUCUCAACUACACAACACAGUCGAUUUUAUGUCAGUGCAGUUAGGUGUCGGACACAGAUUCUAGAGGCUUACAGUUGAGAGUCCAAGAGCUUGCUUUUCUUCUCGAAAAAUUUCGGAACAGUAAGCCCGUUAGUAUAAGAGGAUGGGACAAAAAAUUAUCUGAUACAUCCAAAUAUACGAAUGACAAAAUUAUCAUUUUUCCCUGAUGUUGCAGGAUGAAAUAAUAGGUAAUUUUGUGUUGAUUAGUACCUUCAUUGGUCCAAGCAAACCAUUUAAACUUCCGAGUAAAAAUCGGGUAGUAACAGCCAUCCAAAAACUUGUACUAAGGCCAAAGAGUGUGUUGAAAAUGAUACUGAAAUCAAGCAUUUAUCAUCAAUGUUGUCAAAGUUGUAAUGGAAAAACAUAUAGGCUAUGUUUGGAUAACUUAAAGUCAAAUUGAUUCCAUAUAAGCUAUAAAUUAUCUUCAUAAACUAUCUCUGAGGACUUAGAAAACAAUCUGAAAACAGCUUGUGGCAUGUUAUAGGCUGUUUUCAUAAGCUAUCUUUGAGAAUAUAUGAAAAUAAGCUAAAAAUAACUUAUUGACAUUUCCGUAGGAUUACUCACUCAAACAGUUCUGCAAAGGCUUUAUGCUAGUAGAUAAACUCAAAUAAAUCGAUCCAAAUAAACCGCACAGUGACAUAUAUACUUACACCGAGAUAAUCCCUAUAAUUGCAACAGGUUUUCUACCGUAACGAUCAGCUACCAUUCCCCACGGUAUAGAUGUGAAAGAUCUUCCAAGCAUGAAUGCAGAUCCUAAAACAUUUUCACAGCAUUUUAUUAUAGGAUCAUAAAUAAAGAACUUUUGAAGAUAAAAUACAUCAAAGAAAGGAAUUUACAGUAUAAAAGUAAUCUUACCUACAUAACCAGCAUAAGCACUUAUAUCCUCCUCUCUUUUUGCAAUAUUGAAAUCUCUUAUCUAAAUAAAAAAUUAUAUGUUGUUUGCAUUAAAUGUUGGCAUUUUUAGCAUUUCAUAACAAGUUAGAUAUGAAGAGAAAAAGCAAUUAGAAACUGAGAUAUGCUAAAAUGUAAGAAACUUUAGAGUUUAGACAACUAAAAUUGUUCAAAGCAACUACCACCAAGAAAUAAUAAUAUCAUAAAAUUAAAGAUUAUGUAUCAUGUUGUAGCUAAGGUAACAAUGAACAAUAAAUAUUAGCUUAACUUACCAUGAAAUAUAGGUAAGGAAAGAGAGAUGAUAUAGGCAAAGCUGUAAAAAACACAAAACAAAGAGACAUCAGAGACGGUAUUUUGACACAAAUUUCACCAACAAUUUAGAUAUGGUUAACACAAUUAACCAUGGUGUGUCGCAACUCAUUAAUCAUCAACUGAACACAAUUAAUCACGAUUUUGAACGUCAUUAACAACAAUUUCCGGCAUCACGUAUAUAAUCACAUAUGAUGACAUGUUCAAUGUUCAUUAGUCCAAAUAUCAUUAAAAAAAAUGUUAUCAUGACUAAAAUUAAGUUCAAUAUGCUUAUCUUACCGCUGCAUAAAACAACCAUCCAUAUGUUCAAGAGAUUUCGAAAUGAAACAUCAGUUUUGAGCUCUUUUGCUUUAUCCACCUUACAACCAGGACAAUUGUCAUAGUAUGUUUUCUUCAACAAUGCCUCUCCAACAUUUUCAUUUUCCAUCUUUCCAAAUUACAACUCAACAAUGUUUUUGUUUUUUAUGUGACCAUCUUGACCAAAUCCUUUUUUAUUUGCAACACAAAAUCAGAAAGACAUAUCAAAGACAAAGAAAAAGAGAUGAAUAGGAUGGAUAAAAUAUUUGUGAUGCAGUAGAGACUAGAGAAGGAGCCACAAGGAUGAGCAAAUCCAAGAUAGGGAAUAGAAAAAGUUUAAUGGUAAUAGUGAAGUGGUGAAAAUGAGUAUGAAAAUGAAGUUUGCAUUUGAAGAGUUUAUUAGCCUAGGCAAAAAUAGUUAAAAAAAAAAGGAAGAACAGUUUAUGUGACAAGACAACUCGACCAACCUAUUGAAGUACAAAUGUUUAUGUCUAAACAGACUUGACACUUGGUGGAGUGUGGAUUGAUAUAAGUCGACUUGAUGAAGAACAAAUGUAUAUGCCUUGUUUAAUGUUUGGUCGACUGUGGGCCGAUAUGGGGCGACCAUACCAUGUGAACUCUAUUACACUUUGACCAUUCACUAUAAUAAUGUCACUGGAGACAAUCUGCUCCCCUUCCGGGCACAACUACGAAUAUUAAUUCCCUUGAGAUAUUGACCGCUUUCAAUAUAUGUUUUUUCAUAUGCAUUAAUCAGAGAAGAAACUCUAGGCUAUAAAUGGUUAAGGUGGUUUGUUAUGUAAUUGAACAAACAAUAAAGUAAAACAGCAAAUCAUCGAAGAAGAGAAUGGAUGGAUGUUGGAAAUGAAUGUGGACACAACACAUGUGAUGAUGUGAACGUAUCAAACAUUAUGUGUCCAAGAAGAUUGGAGGAGUGAAAUCAUAGUAUGCCAUUAUUAUGAUUCCACCAAUAAUACAAUGGUCCAAGCUAUAUAAUACUCCGUCCAAGCUAUAUAAUACUCCCUCCGUUUCAAAUUGAGUGACACGGUUUGUUUUGAUCAUAUUUUUUUACUAAUAAAUAAAAAUAAAUAUUAGCAUAUAAGAUGUUGGAUCGUCUCAAUGAUUAUUUUCAAAAUAUCAAAUUUUUAUAAUUUUUACUAUAAUAUAAUUAAAAAUAUUAAUCGUCAAAGUUAAGCGCAUGCGUAAAACAAUCAACCGUGUCACUUAAUUUGACACAAAGGGAGUAAUAAUUCUCUAGUUACUACUAUUAUAAAUAAAUAAAUAAAAAGUUCAUUGAAAAAAAUAAUAUAUUUAGUCAUAAUGAUUGGAGGAGUAGAUGUUUAUUAUGCAAUGUCCAUGAUCCAUAUCAAUAGUCGUUUUCUUAUUUUUUUAGCAAAAUUAUAGUGCUUUGCGUCACUUGUAAUUAAUAUGAAAAAGAAAAGAAAGGUAUUGUGGGGGCAUAAAUAAUAAAAUAAAAAAACUCAUUAUUAUUUUUUUUUUAUGAUAAAUAACUCAUAAUUUAUUUCAUAAAAAAAACUUUUACAUUAUAUAUGGUAUAUAUGAAAUAUGUACAAAGGGCUUUCUUUAAAACAAAAAAUACUGAUUAAAUUUUAAUUUUUCCUCUUAUACCCUUAACUAUUUAUUAUUUUUUUUUUCAAUUCUUCAAUUUAUCUUUUUCAUACCAUUAAUGAAGGACAAUUUUGUAAAUAAUUCAUAAUUUCUCUUUUCCAUACAACAUUAAUUACAUUUCUUAAUACGAAUUAUAAUGUGGUACGGAGGAAGUAUUUAAUUAAUAAUAUUUUUUGUAAAAAUUUAAUUAAUAUACCUUGAGUUUUAAGGUUUUAAAGAGGGUCGGUCAUAGAGGUAGUAGCAUAAAAAAUUACUAGCUUUGUUUAAAAAAGUUAAUUGCGUGAUAUUAAAUUUGUUGAUAAGUUAUGACCGAAAUUUAUGCGAUGGUUUUAGUAGUAUUUUAGGUUAAUUUUUAAUAGUUUUAGUAGUUAUUGAAGACCAAAUGCAAGCAAAAAUCUAAAGAUAUGAAGUUAUUUGAUCAAGAAGCAAGAAAAGUGAAAAAUGCAUAAAAAGAGAAAGAAAAAAAAAAAGAAUUACGCAGUUACAUCGUGCCCACGAUGAGAAGCCAUCGCAGCACGAUUGGUUUGUUUUUAUUUUUAAGAAAAUCUGCAUUUUUUAUAAAACAAAUCCAGCUAUCGUGCCACGAUGAGAUCCAUCAUGCACACGAUAUAGGCAAACACAGAGCCAUCGUGGCCACGAUGUGAUACGAAGAGGCGCGAUGGAAAGCCCAAGUCUGUUAAGAAAACUAUAAAUAAAGCUCUCCUCAUCACAAUUAUUCAUAUUCAAAAAAGCUCAGCAAUAUCAAGAGUUAGGAGAACAUUAAGGAAAAAUGAGACGAGAAGAGGGCUAGUAGCUCUUGUUAAUUUGUCUCUUUAUGUUUGUUUUAAGGAAUGAUUAGAGAUUCCCAGGGGCUAGUGUCCUCUAUAAGGUGUGGUCAUGGCAAUGACAUCUGUUUACCGUACAUUGUGCUGGUACUUUGGGGUUGUUUUCACUUUAAUGAUAGAAAUAGCUUUUCGUUCACAACUAAUUUUAGGUGGAAGUUAGUUAAAAAGGGACCAAAUGUGCUGAAUAAACAUGUGCUGAAUAUGACAAGUAUUAGUACAUGUAGAUAAGUCAUUUGCAUAAGAAAUAUUAGGAAAAAGGGAUUAAAUUUCCUUAAGCAAAAAAGCUCAUGGUAGCUUGAAAAUCCAUAUGGUAAGUGGUGGUUCUAUGAUUGUUAAAAUUUUAAGUUAACUCGUAAAAUCGUGCGAUUAAAUACGAGUUUAGAUAACAAAUUUGAGUCAAAUUAGUGGUUAACUUGAAAUUUGAUAAACUCGAAAAUUCAACUGACUUGACUCACAAGUUAACUCCUUAAACUCACUCGACAAACUCGGACAAGUACAUGACGAGUUAGCAUAUACGUUUUAUAUAUGUGCAUUAAAUUCGUCCCAUAAUUAAACGGAUAAAUCUAAACCUUUUAGGAAACUUAUCACAAAUAAUAACAAUAACACAUGAAAAUAUCAAAUACCAACAGGGCAUUCAUCAUAAAUACUAUAGUUGAUGUACGACGGAGCUGCUCAGCUCGAGUACCACGAGUAAAAAGAGUCACAAAUCAUACAAAAGUAUAGCGUAACAUAGUCAGCCCCCAAAAUGACCACACAAAUAGUACAAAACAAUACUGCAAAUAGUUCACAAAUAGUACAACCAUCUCACCCUUGUGAGUUGUAGAAGGAUUGAUGUCAUGCUUAGCUUGAUCAUUCAAGUCACGGUGAGCUCCGCCUCCAACAUGUCAAGCUCAGCUUGAUCAUUCAAGUCACGUUGAAAUCCACCUCCAGCAUAUCAAGCUUAGCUUGAUCGUUCGAGUCAUAUUAGGCUCCUCCUUCAAUUCAACUAUGCAAGUCAUUUGGAUCUCGAGUUACUACUCAGGUGAAAGUUGUGGUCCUCCAUAGAAGUGUUUCAUGGUCUUCCUGUCACAUGUCUUGUACAAACAAAGUGACGUGAGCUACGCAUGCUCCAACUUCACGUGCUCUGCAUAAAAAGGUCUGUGUGUCCUAUACGUGAGCUACACAUGACCUCUGAAGCAUAACUAAUUGGGCUUGUACGUCCAAGGAGAGGCCCAUUAGGUUAAAACAACGAUGAACUAUAAAAUAAGACACUUAGGAAGCAAAGGGGGAUCAAUAUAUUCUAUUUUAGUAUUUUUCAGAGUGCUCUUGGAAAUUUUCCUAAGACAUUUUAGAAAGCAACUCAUCUAUUGUAACUAUCUUGUGUUUAGUGAACAAUCGCCAUAAUCUCUAAACCAAUGAAUACACUGCUUCACCAUAGGACCUUGAGCUGCUUCAUCGCUUAAUAAAAAGUUCAUUUUAGUGUAACUGCUCAGAGGGUGUUUUCUUCUUUUCAGUCAAAAAUGGCGUAAACAUCAAUAUCACUCCAAGUCCUCCAGCAACAUUC